UGCACUAAAUCGUCUUUAAUCCCCAGCGCACCACGAAUCGAUCGGGACAACGGCUGCUAGAUUGUGGCUGGGGCGGUGCUCAUCUGUGGUGGAGGCGAGACUUCUUCGGUUUUGGGAGGCUAAGAACGUCUAAGUGCGAUGAGGAGCUGAUGUGGAUGGAUCUGCUCAUGGUAGAUGUAAAUUCGACCGUGAUGCAAGUAACGAUCAGUCCCGGCCGUCUUCCACAGUUCCGUGACAGUCUCCGUGCCGGAGCAAUGUUUUCUGUGGCUGGAUUUGAGGUCUCUAGGUGCGCGCAGAAAAAACUGUAACAGAAACGAUGCUUCAUCUCACGCUGGAGCUCAUUGGGGUUGGGAAGAAGAAGCUUUAUGAAGCAAAAGUGUGGGUGAAGCCAAGGUUGAACUUCAAGGAGUUCAAGCAUGCCGGUGAUGAUGCCCAUGCCAUUACUCCCUCCUAUCUUGGCUGCAAAUAAGGUAUGACCACAAACGGUACAU